CUUAUACUCCCUCCGUCCAGAAAUACUUGUCAUCAAAAUGGAUAAAAUGGGAUGGAUCUAGACGUAUUUUAGUUCUAGAUACAUCUCUUUUUAUCUAUUUUGAUGACAAGUAUUUUCGGACGGAGGGAGUAUGUU
rfam:Triticum aestivum genome assembly, contig: Triticum_aestivum_CS42_TGACv1_scaffold_405783_5BL